UACAGGGGGUGCUAGCGUUGUUCGGAAUUACUGGGCGUAAAGGGCGCGUAGGUUGUCUCGCAAGUCAGAAGUGAAAUCCCGGAGCUUAACUCCGGAAUUGCUCCUGAUACUGCGGGGCUAGAGUGUAUUAGAGGAUGGCGGAAUUCCUAGUGUAGAGGUGAAAUUCGUAGAUAUUAGGAAGAACACCGGUGGCGAAGGCGGCCAUCUGGGAUACAACUGACACUGAGGCGCGAAAGCGUGGGGAUCAAACAGG
rnacentral:rRNA from 1 species